GUCUUAAAUUUUUGUUAAUCCGGAUGUCGGAUUUUAACUCCAUAUGAUGGAGAAUUAAAUUACGGACGCGUAGGAAAAAGAAUCGUGUAAAACGGAUUAAAAACGAGAGAGUUAUGUCCGUUUCGGUAAGAACUAAUGAAAAAUAGACGUGCAGAGUUGACACGGGCGGGUGACUUUUUGACACGGCCGGGUGGCUGGGCUGUGAAAAAUAUAUGUUAACUGACACGGCCGGGUGACUUUUUGACACGGCCGGGUGAAGGGGCUGAAAACAAAACAAAAAUAAUUUCUUGUUUUGUUACGUUAAGCACGGAACUUGUUUAUACUCGAUUAUUAAAGUGUCAAAACUAAUUAUUUACAUGGUUUUGACCGUAGGUGAAGAUGGAAUAAGCGGUUUGAAAGAUACGAAAGUUUUCGUGCAAAUAAACGGCAAAAUAGGAAAGCUGGAAUGCAGGGGCCACCGUAACUUACGGUGCCACCGUAAGUAACGGUGGAGCUGAAAGCUUUACGGUAGCUUCCUACUGAAUUACGGUGAAUGUCAAGAGUCCCGGAUAAAGAUCAAGCAUCGAGCAAGAACCGAACACGCGUUAAAUAAAGCUUCCGCUAUGUUGUUUCGUCAUUAUUUUAAAACGGCGAAUUAAACCACUUUAUGUGGUGUUACUAUAAUUUGUAAAAGUUUUCUUUAA